AACGAACGCUGGCGGCAGGCCUAACACAUGCAAGUCGAACGUGAAGCUGGAGCUUGCUCCAGUGGAAAGUGGCAGACGGGUGAGUAACGCGUGGGAAUCUACCCAAUGGUACGGAAUAACUCAGGGAAACUUGUGCUAAUACCGUAUGAGCCCUUCGGGGGAAAGAUUUAUCGCCAUUGGAUGAGCCCGCGUUAGAUUAGUUUGUUGGUGGGGGUAAUGGCCUACCAAGACUACGAUCUAUAGCUGGUCUGAGAGGAUGAUCAGCCACACUGGGACUGAGACACGGCCCAGACUCCUACGGGAGGCAGCAGUGGGGAAUAUUGCACAAUGGGCGCAAGCCUGAUGCAGCCAUGCCGCGUGAGUGAAGAAGGCCUUAGGGUUGUAAAACUCUUUCACCGGUGAAGAUAAUGACGGUAGUCGGAGAAGAAGCCCCGGCUAACUCCGUG
rnacentral:rRNA from 1 species